UACGGCCACAUCACGUUGAAACACCGGGCCCUGUACGAUCACCGAAGUUAAGCAACGUCGUGCCUGGUCAGCACCUACAUGAGUGACCGCUUGGGAAUACCAGGUGCUGUAAU